rnacentral:snoRNA from 1 species
CUUUGUGAUGACCCCAAUUGAAUCUCGUUCGGCUGAACCCGCUGCUGAGAAGCAACCACUGACUCUG